GCUACCAACAUGAAAAGGUUCACUUUGGACACUUAGAUUUCACUGUUUGUUAUAAUACAAGUGAGAGGUCUCCAAAAUAUUAAAGAUGAGCAUAUUAAUUAGACGGGACUAGCCCCUAGAGACAUGCACCUUGGUCCACGAAUGGAAAUCCAACAAACAGGGAGAAGCAGCAGGAGGCUAAGAUAGAAGAAAACAAACGGCAGAAGAAUGACUCAAUUUGAAGAAAACAUGGUUUGCUCCAAGGGCUUAGGUGCAGUGGCACGAUCUCGGCUCACUGCAAGCUCAGCCUCAUGGGUUAAAGUGAUUCUCCUGCCUCAGCCUCCUGACUAGCUGGGACUACAGUCAUGCCAGGGAGAUGCUAAACAAAUUGUACUAGGAGAUACAACAUUUGAGAGAGAGGAAAAUACAGAGAUGUUAGCUGUCAGUCAACAAUCAACAUUCUGGGCACAGGGUAAGUAGGUUUGAAUUCAGAAUUUGCUAGUUCACAGAGAUGCUGUUGAAGAAUACAGAAAAAACAAGCAGAACUUCUGGUGGUCUCAAGGGAUUAGACAGAAAAAAUUAGAGACUUCAAAGACAAGAUAUUAGGUUGUUGCAAAAGUUAUUGCGGUUUUUGCCACUAAAAGCAAUGGCAAAAACCGCAGUUACUUUUGCACCAACAUAACUAGUAAAAAGCAGUGAACUGAGUGAGACACACUGCUAGUUUUCCCUUCAAGGCAAAAUCUGAAGCCACUUAAUUUAGGAGGUUAAAAAAACCUUCCUACUUAUUCCAAUAAGCCAAUCAGAGUAUUCAGAAAUUCUACUUCGCUAAAGAGAAAAUAACAUAUUUCAGAACUUAUAAGGACUACUGUAGGAUUAUAACCAUGGUUGUGACCAUUAUCAAAAAGAGAAGAGAUAAAAAGUGUUGGCAAGAAUGUGGAGAAAAGGGAGACUUCGUGCACUGUUGGUGGAAAUAUAAAUUGGUACAAACCUUAUGGAAAGCAGUAUGGAAGUACCUCAAAAAAAACUUAAAAUAGAACUACCAUAUGAUCCAGCAGUCCCGCUUGGAACAUACCCAGGUACGCAAAAUUGAUGUUGAUACCCUGGCCACAUGAUAUAAGAAUUCUACUCCAGUUAAAUAAUAGUUUCAUAGGCAAUGCCAUUUUACAAAAUGUAACUGUCCUGUGUGCUUAUAAUUUAUAUGCUCUUCUAAAUUCAUAAAAGUAUUUCCCUUAAGACUAUCUUGUCCUAUUUCCUUUCAGUGCUUUCAAUGAAUAUAAAUUAUCUUUAAAUUUUCUCUCAGAUUAUAGAAAAUCAUGUCUGUAAUAAUGUGAAGUAAUAUUUUCUGAUUAUUAAAUUAUUGCACUUUCAUUGUAGAAAAUUAAUUUCACUAUAUUUAUAUGACUUUUGUAUACUUUAUUAUGUAGUUGAGUUAAAAGUACAAGCUGAUUUUAAAGCAGAACUAAUUAAGCUGUAGUUAAUGAUCCCAGAAGGAAGAAGAUUUAACUACUGCUUGGUGAUUUUAUGAUAAAUAUCUGCCACUGCAUUUAUUAGUUUGCUAAUCUUCCCCAAUUAGAAAUAUGGGUUGAGACAUUUAACAUUAGUUUCAAAGAUGCAAACUAAGACGGCUAAAAUUUCUUGGCAAAGAAAACAGCCAUUCUGUUGUAGCAUUGCUUUUCAGUUUUACUAUAUCAUGUUACUUUUUAUGUUAACUAGUUUUCUAAUCACAUUUUAGCUCGCCUAUAACUUGUUGAUAUUUUCUUAACUUCAUUUUUGUUACAAAUGUCAAAUUUUAAAAAUUUGAUUAUAUAAAGUUAUAAAGACAUUUGAAAACAUACAAUGGGUGUGAAUCAAAUAAGCAUUAAAAAUUCAUAAAGAUCAUCACAAAUCUCACACCUAGUCAUUAAUCCAUUAACACGAGGAUAUAUAGUCAUACAGAUGACUGUCAUUGAUAUGGUUUCGCUCUGUGUCCCCACAUCUUAAAUUGUAAUCCUCAUAAUUCCCAGGUGUAGAGGGAGGGACCAGACGGGAGGUGAUUGGAUCACGGGGGCGGUUUUACCUAAGCUGUUCUGGUGAUAGUGAAUGAGUCUCACAAGAUCUGAUGGUUUUAAAAGUGGCAAUUUUUCCCGUGUUUGCAUUAAUUUUCUUCCUUGCCACCUUGUGAAGAAGGUGCCUGCUUUCCCUCUCCUAUGAUGGUAAGUUUCCUGAGGCUUUCCUAGCCAUGUUUCCUGUUAAGCCUAUGGAACUGGGAGUCAAAUAAACCGCUUUCCUUUAUAAUUACCCAGUCUCAGGUAGUAUCCUUCAUAGCAGUGUGAAAAGUAGCUAAUAAAGUCAUUUCCUAAAUAAACUUAUUUAUAAAUACCAAGUUCUCAAGAUCAUACCCAGCACACAAAUCAACUAUUUUUUAAGUAAUGGAUUUAUUGUGAUAUAAUACACAAACCAUAAAAUUUACUUUCAAAUUUGUACAAUUCAGUAGUUUUUAGUAUAUUCAUACAGUUGUACAAUUAUCAUGACUAUCUAAUUUUAGAACAGUUUAUCACUCUAAAAAGGAAACAACUCACUCUUCUCUUCUUCCCAAGCCCCUGGGAUACACAAAUCUACCUGCUGUCUCUGUGCAUUUGCCUAUUCUGCAGAUUUUACACAAAUUGAUUUAUUUAAUAUGUAGCCUUUUAAAGGUAUCUGGCUUUUUAAAAUUUGUUAUAAUGUUUUUAAGCUUCAUUUAUGCUACCACAUGUAUCUAUACUUCAUUCCUCUUUAUUGCCAAAUACUAUUCCAUAUUAUGACUAUGCUACAUAGUCAUAAUUUAUGUGUUAUAGUUUAUGUGUUAGCCAGUUGUUCAACUUUUGGGUCAUAUCUGAAUUUUUGCUAAUAUGAAGAAUGAUGCUAGAAAAAUGACAUGUUUUAAUGUGGACAUAUGUUUUUAAUUAUAUUGAGUAUGUGCUAUAUAUAUCAUUUUUUGAAACUUUCAAAGUGUUUUUCAAAGGGUCUGCACCAUUUUACAAAUCCACCAAUAUUUUAGAAUAAUUCUGAUUUCUCCAAAUUCUUGGCAACACUUGUAAUUGUGUUUCUAUUUUUUUAUGUGAGCCCUCCUACUGGGUACAAAGUAAUAUCGCAUCAAGGAUUUGAUUUGAAUUUGUCUAAUGACUAAUAGUGUUGAGCAUCUUCUCAUAUGCUUAUUGACCAAUGUAUAUUUUCUUUAGAGAAUUGUUCAUUAAAAUAAUUUUCACCUUUUAACUAAGUUAUUCACAUUUUUACUAGUGAGUUAUAAGUGGUAUUUAUAUUUUCUAGGUACAAGUCUCUUAUCAGGUAUAUAAAUUUCAAAUGUUGCUAUGAUUAUAUGUGUUGAGUUUCCCUAUCUGAAUGAUGUCCUUUGAAGUGCAAAAGUUUUUAAUUCGAUGAAGUCAAAUCAAUGCACUCUUUCUCAUUUUGCUUUCUUAUCUUGCUUCAUAUCCAGGAAACAUUAUUUACAGAACUCUUGCUCCCAUAUUUUCUUAUAAGAAUUUUAUAAUUUUAGCUUUAAUAUUUAGGUCUAUAAUCAUCUUGAUUUGAUUUUUGUAUAUGUUGUCAGGUAGGGCUCAACUAUCAUUGUUUUGCAUGUUAAUAUACUUUUGUCUCAGUAAGAUUUGUUAUAAAUAUUGUUUCCCUAUUUAAUUAUCUUGGUAACCUUCUCUAAAAUCAGUUGACCAUAAAAAGGAAUUUAUUUUCAACUUUUAUUACAUCCAGUUUAUCUACAAGUUUAUCCAUAUGCAAUACCAUAUUGUACUGACUACUGAAACUUUGUAGUAAAUAAUAGAAAUCUGGAAGAGUGAGCCCAAACUUUGUUGUUCUUUUCAAGUUGUAUUGGCUAAUCUCGUUUCUUUGCAUUUUCAUAUAAAUUGAACAGUCAGUUGUGAUUUUAUAGAAAAAAGUAGCUGAGGUUUGAGAGCAAUUGUAUUGAUUUAGUAGAUCAUUAUAGAUUAUUGAUAUUUUAAGUUUUGCCUUCCAAUUCAUUAGUGUGGGAUGUCAGUUUUCAAUUCUUUAGGCCUUCUGUAAUUUCUGUCAACCAUGUGUGUAAUUGUUAAUGUACAAAUCUUAAACUUUUUUUAAUGUAUUGUUUUCUUUAUUUUCAUGCUAUUGUAAAUGGAAUUGUUUUUGAAAUUUAUUUUUUGAUUUUGACAUUGUAUAGAAAUGAAAUACAUUUGUAUGUUAAUCUGGUAUUCUGCAAAGUUGAUAAACUUGUAUAUUAGUUCAAAUAGUUUUGCAUGUAUGUGUAUGUAUGGAUUCCUCAGGAUUUUCUGUAUAUAAGAUUAUUUCACCUGCCAGUAGAGAGAGCUUUUCUUGUCUUCAAAUCUAAAUGGCUUUUAUUUCUUAUCCUUGUCUACUUAUCCUGGCUAGAACUUCCAGUACCAUGUUGAAUGGAAGUGGUGAGAGCAGACAUUGUUGUUCUGUUUGUUAUCAUAGGGGAAAAACAUUUAGUCUUUCAUUAAGUAUUAUAUAAAUAAGUAUGAGUAUAUAAUCCAAUGCUUUAUCAGAUUCAGAGAGUUCUCUUCUAAUCAUAGGUUAUUGUGUGAUUUUAUCAUGAAUGUGCAUUGGAUUUUGUCAAGUGUAUUUUCUGUUUCUAUUGAGACAACAAUUUUUUUAUCCUUUAUUGUAUUAAUAUGAUGUCUUACACUGAUCUCAAUAAAUCAUGUUUUAUAAUUCUGUAUAUGUUCCUAAAUUCAGUUUUUAAAUAUUUUGUUGAGGGUUAUCAUGUUAGUGUUGAGAAAAUAUAAUUUGUUAUUUUAUGUGAUAUCUUUGGUUGUAUCAGGGUAUUUCUGGCCUCAAGGAAUGAUUUGGAAAGUGAAUUUCUAAUUUUUUUUAAGUGUUUUGAAGGACUGGUGUUAAUUCUUCUUUAAUCACUUUGUAAAAUUCAUCAGCUUCACUGGCACCUAGGCUUUUCUUCCAUGAUUUUAAAUUUUUAAUUUAAUGUAAUACUUGAUAUAGGUAUACUUUAUGAUGUGGAAUACAGGGGAAUCCACUUGAACACAGUUUAGGCAAAUUAUAUGGUGAUGUCUUUGCAGAUGUGAUUAAAUGAAAGAUCUUGAGAUGAGUAGAUUAUCCUGGUUAUUCAGAUGGGCCCUAAUUGAGAGCACAAGUGUCCUACUAAGAUAAGGGGUAAGAGAGAUUUGACACAGAUAAAGAGGGGACUGCAUACUCACACAAGAGGAGGCUGUAAGAAAAUAGAACCAAGUGAUUUAAAGAUGUUGGCCUAGAAAGAUCAGCAUAAUGAGCCACAAGCCAAGGAAAGCUGACAUCCACAAGCACCUGGAGGAGACAAGGAAUGAUUCUCAUCUAAAGCCUUUAGAGAAUAUGAAGCCCUGCUAACACCUUUGUUUUCGCUCAGCGAUACUGAUUUUGGAUUAGUGGCAUCCAGAACUCCAAGAACAUGAAUUUCUGUUGUUUUAAGCCACCGCGUUUAUGAUACUUUAUUUUUAUUUUUUCUUUUCACCAUUUUCAUAGUAAUAAAGUGUACAUAUUUAUAGUGUAACAUGUUUUGAAAUAUAUAUAUACACACACAUAUAUAUAUCACAAAUAUAUACACACUGUGGAAUGGCUAAAUCAAGCUAAUUAACAUAUCUACUUACAUCACAUACUUUGUGUGUGUGUGUAUGUGUGUGUUUGGUCAGAACACUUAAAAUCUAUUCUCUAGUAUUUUGCUAUAGUAGUUACAGAAAACUAAUUCAUAGAUCUUUAUUCAGAUUUUUAAAAAUUUUUACUGAAGUCAGCUUUGUAGUCUGUGAGUUUUCAAAAUAUUUAUCCUUUUUUUGUUUAUUUUUUUUUUGAGAUGGGUCUGGCUCUGUUGCCCAGGCUGGAGUGCAGUGGCGUGAUCUCAGCUCACUGCAACCUCUGCCUCCCAGGUUCAAACAAUUCUACCUGCAUCAGCCUCCCGAGUAGUUGGGAUUACAGGUGCCUACCACCAUGCCUGGCUUGUUUUUGUAUUUUUUUUAGUAGGGAUGGGGUUUCACCGUGUUGGUCAGAUGGGUCUCAAACUCCUGACCUCAGGUGAUCCACCUGCCUCAGCCUCCCAAAGUGCUGGGAUUACAGGCAUGAGCCACUAUGCCUGGCCAAUAUUUAUAUAUUUUAUCAUUUAAAUAAUUAGUUGGGAUUGAAUUGUGAAGGUUCUGCCUUGUAAUUCUUUAUAUUUGUGUAUAGUUAGUGUUAAUUUUCUCUUUUUUCAUUCUAGAUUUUUUGUAAUUUGAUGGCUUCACUCUGUUUUCCAGGCCAAGUAACUUAAAAUUUGUCAGCUUUGUAGAUCAAAACAUCAGCUUUGGUUUUGUUGAUUUUCUUUAUGACUAGUGUCCUUUAUUUCUGCUGUAAUCUUCAUUAUUUUCUUCCUAGUGCUUGCUUUAGGUUUAAUUCUUUUUCUAGUGUUAUAAGGUAUUAUAAAGUUCUCAUAUAGCACUGUUUUAGCUACAUCCUAUACUUUUUGUAUGCUGUAUUUUUAUUUUCAUCUCUUAUUAUAGCAUGUCUAAUUUCCUUGGGAUUUAUUCUGUGUCUCCCUAGUUACUUAGAAGUGUGUUUAAUUGGUACAUAUUUGUAUCAACAGAAACAGAUGUACUUACAUGCUGGCAUGACUUAAGCUCUCUCUCUUCUCUUACAACUCAUCUUUCUCAACCAAACUUUUUAUAAUGGUUGUCACCAAGACCCAGUGCCUCCGCUUCUCCUCCUUUCAUUCUACACUGUGGUUCUCACUCCUCACUGCACUUUGUGUUACAUGGAGAGCUUCCCCUGCCCUCACCACCACCCCGAUCCUGCAGCACUGACCUUCUCUAGAGCCAGGCUCUUCAUUGUC